rnacentral:rRNA from 1 species
UACGGGGGGGGGCAAGCGUUGUUCGGAAUUACUGGGCGUAAAGGGCUCGUAGGCGGCCAACUAAGUCCGACGUGAAAUCCCCAGGCUUAACCUGGGAACUGCGUCGGAUACUGGAUGGCUUGAAUCCGGGAGAGGGAUGCGGAAUUCCAGGUGUAGCGGUGAAAUGCGUAGAUAUCUGGAGGAAUACCGGUGGCGAAGGCGGCAUCCUGGACCGGCAUUGACGCUGAUGAGCGAAAGCUAGGGGAGCAAACGGG